UGGGGAAUAUUGGACAAUGGGCGCAAGCCUGAUCCAGCCAUGCCGCGUGAGUGAUGAAGGCCCUAGGGUUGUAAAGCUCUUUCACCGGUGAAGAUAAUGACGGUAACCGGAGAAGAAGCCCCGGCUAACUUCGUGCCAGCAGCCGCGGUAAUACGAAGGGGGCUAGCGUUGUUCGGAUUUACUGGGCGUAAAGCGCACGUAGGCGGUCUUUUAAGUCAGGGGUGAAAUCCCGGGGCUCAACCCCGGAACUGCCGUUGAUACUGGAAGUCUUGAGUAUGGUAGAGGUGAGUGGAAUUCCGAGUGUAGAGGUGAAGAUAGUAGAUAUUCGGAGGAACACCAGUGGCGAAGGCGGCUCACUGGACCAUUACUGACGCUGAGGUGCGAAAGCGUGGGGAGCAAACAGG
rnacentral:rRNA from 1 species